GCUGGAAUCGCUAGUAAUCGCAGAUCAGAAUGCUGCGGUGAAUACGUUCCCGGGUCUUGUACACACCGCCCGUCACACCAUGGGAGUUGGGAAUGCCCGAAGUCAGUGACCCAACCGUAAGGAGGGAGCUGCCGAAGGCAGAUUCGAUAACUGGGGUGAAGUCGUAACAAGGUAGC
rnacentral:rRNA from 1 species